ensembl:lncRNA
GUAAUAUCGUGUGGUUUGAAGGGCAUCAGGCCUGCCAGCCAAAACCUCCCCUGGCAGCCUACCUGAAAUUCCAGCCAAGGAUCAUUAGUGUUGCUCCUUAAAAUAACUUUGUUGUUUUGACUCAAUUCUUCUUGCCCCCACUCCUACCUUUUCCUAUUGGAAUAAUCAUUUCCCUACAUGAUUAUUGAGAACUCAAGAUUUCGUAAAUUUCAGCAGUUGUGUUAUAGCAGAACAGAUGGCGCUUGCUUGAAAUUUCUCUCACCUGAAAUUUUGUUUAUAUCCAGAUAUGAUGGAAGAGAAAACAGGAGGGUACAGAAAAACACGGACUUCACUGAAAGAGUUUAUCUGCGAAAAGGAGGAGGGGCAAGGGAAGCAUCAAGAAACAAAUUACCAAAAAGUAAUGUCUUCACUCUCCCACUGAUACCUACUGACAUCCCACUGGACUGCUGGUUUGGCCUGCAAACUGCCAAAAAAAAAAAAAAAAAAGGAGGGGAAUUUGCACUGUCACCUAUUUUUAUGAUUGGGGAUGAAAUUGAACUUUCAUACGGUAACUAAAUUUAUUGAUAGUUCAAUGCAGCUUGUGAGUGCCUGAUAUUUUUAGUCUGGGCUUGGGAUUUGUGUUUGAGAAAUCCAUGUACAGUGAGGGAGGCAGCCGGUAUUCCAUUUCAUAUCUUGCAGGAAUUUCUCUUAACCAUCAUCAUCUUCAUCAAAUAAAUCUUAUUCAGCACCUUUAUCCAUUCUAUAAGCAUUCUGGAGCACCUAACAUAUUUAAGGAACCUAUAAUUAUGUAGCUAGUGCCUUGAAUAAGUAGAAUGUCCAAUAGCCUCCACAAAAUGUUAAAGUCAUGGGAACACAUUAUUCAAAAUUGCUAUCACCUAAGAACAUUUCUUAUUUUCUUUUUAUUAGCCUGAAUUUGGGUUGGCCAGCAUGCAAGGAGAGCAGCUAUAUUCUCUACAUAAGUUCAAAAGCAAUGAAUACGUUUAUUCACCUCCGCCUGGAACAUACUGAAUGAGUAUUGAGCAAAUAAAGAAACAUUUCACUUGCUGAGUGCCUCAGCUAAGCAGGAUCUCAGAAAAUACUAAAUUAAUUGGAUAAUAAGGGAAAGGCGAUGGAAAGUUAUGUCAUGAGCUAUACCUAUUUGAAGGACUGGUGUCAAGAUAAGAUCAUUCAUAUUUCUUCAUGAAUUUCUAGAAGUCUUCAUGAAGAAGGUGGCAUUUUGGUCAAAACAUAGAUAUUCAAAAAUUACAUAUUUAAUUAAGAUCUUGAGGUAUUUAUUAUGAACAAUGUUGCUACUCUGACCAUUCCUGACCAAUUAAUACAAAUUUGCAAAAUUCCUCACAAAAUGGUAAGCCAGGGAUUGAUCCCUAUAUUUAAAAUCUCUUAAUCCAAUGGCAUACUCAAUUUUUUUCUUAAUGUAAGACAAGGCCUUUAAAAAAUAACAGCGCAUUACUUCUUCAAUGAUCCCUUUCACAUGGCUGUCCAGUUUCAUCUGGACAGACUUUAAGUUCCACCUGAAGAGGACCAUGUCUUCUUUUUGGUACCUCAACAGUUUAAGGCUCACAUAAUCAUUGAUGACAAAAUUGGAAAUGGCGUUCAAGUUCCUAUGGUGGAAUAAGGCUAGAGAGUGACUUUGGAUAAAUAAAUAUGUGUCAGUCAGGACAAAAGAAGAUUUGAAAUAAAAGUAUGUAUGAGCUAUUG